GAUGAAGACGUAGCGAAAUGCGAUAAGUAAUGUGAAUUGCAGAAUUCAGUGAAUCAUCGAAUCUUUGAACGCACAUUGCGCCCGCCAGUAUUCUGGCGGGCAUGCCUGUUCGAGCGUCAUUACAACCCUCAGGCCCCCGGGCCUGGCGUUGGGGAUCGGCGGUGCCCCCCGUGGGCACACGCCGUCCCCCAAAUGCAGUGGCGGUCCCGCCGCAGCUUCCAUCGCGUAGUAGCUAACACCUCGCGACUGGAGAGCGGCGCGGCCACGCCGUAAAACACCCAACUCUUCUGAAGUUGACCUCGAAUCAGGUAGGAAUACCCGCUGAACUUAAGCAUAUCAAUAAGCGGAGGA
rnacentral:misc_RNA from 1 species